rnacentral:sRNA from 1 species
GACAACAGAAAAGCUUAUGGGCGGUCGGCUAGUCUCCCGAAGAAGGGAGGUGAUGCCAAUGGAGGUCAAAGACGCGCUUACCCUAAUGUUCAUGUUCGGCAUGUUCAUUCUAGCGCUGCUAACCUACAUGAAAAAGAAAUAGACCGCCCUCUGCAAAGGUUUGCGGUCUAUCUCUCGACUAAUUACCUAGUUUAGCUAACCGCCUUUAAAGCGGCUGUUGUCAAGAGUAAGGAUGCUACAACAUCCUUG